rnacentral:rRNA from 1 species
AAUUUUGCGCAAUGGGCGAAAGCCUGACGCAGCAACGCCGCGUGAAGGAUGAAGGCCUUGGGUCGUAAACUUCUGUCAGAGGGGAAGAAAUGCCCGCAAGGGAGCUGACGGUACCCUCAAAGGAAGCACCGGCUAACUCCGUGCCAGCAGCCGCGGUAAUACGGAGGGUGCAAGCGUUGUUCGGAAUUAUUGGGCGUAAAGAGCAUGUAGGCGGUUUGUUAAGUCUGGUGUGAAAGCCCGGGGCCCAACCCCGGAAGUGCAUUGGAUACUGGCCGACUUGAAUAUGGGAGAGGAAGGCGGAAUUCCGAGUGUAGGAGUGAAAUCCGUAGAUAUUCGGAGGAACACCAGUGGCGAAGGCGGCCUUCUGGACCAAUACUGACGCUGAGAUGCGAAGGCGUGGGGAGCGAACAGGGUUAGAUACCCUGGUAGUCCACGCCGUA